rnacentral:lncRNA from 1 species
CCAAUGGGCAUCUAAUGCCAAUAGAGUGGUUGUGCCUUUCCGAUGCAACCAAGCUACUGUAAAUAAUUGAGAACAAUCAACAUCAGAAAAGACACCUGCAUCUCUACAACGAUGGAAGACCAGUAGACUUAAUAUUUGGUGAGGAGAUUUGGGUUCAGGUCUCUUCUAAUUAGUCAUAUACAUCUAAUGUAAUGACUAAUAUAGUUUGGGUUAGCACAUUUCAUAUCUGACCAACC